CCUACGGGUGGCUGCAGUGGGGAAUAUUGCGCAAUGGGCGAAAGCCUGACGCAGCGACGCCGCGUGAGGGAUGAAGGUCUUCGGAUCGUAAACCUCUGUCAGCAGGGAAGAACGGUAACGGUGCUAAGCAGCAGUGAAUGGACGGUACCUGCAAAGGAAGCACCGGCUAACUCCGUGCCAGCAGCCGCGGUAAGACGGAGGGUGCGAGCGUUAAUCGGACUUACUGGGCGUAAAGCGCUCGUAGGCGGUAUGUCAAGCCAAGGGUGAAAUCCCCGCGCUCAACGUGGGAACUGCCUUUGAAACUGGCAUACUUGAGUGUGUGAGAGGUUAGUGGAAUUCCUGGUGUAGGCGUGAAAUCCGUAGAUAUC
rnacentral:rRNA from 1 species